CAGGACAACGAGCCAGAGUAUGAGCCAGAUGGACUCCCAGAGGUGGUCAGAAAAGGCUUUGCUGAUAUUCCUACUGGGAAAACCAACCCCUGUGUUUUGCGCAGAACAGCGCUAAACCUAAAGACCAGUGCCCGUCUUGCUGCUCAAAGCCAAAAUUUGUCACCAUAUGGCCAACGUUUACAAAAAGGCAGGUCAGCUAAUUUUGCCAAGAUCUCUAAACCGACAGCUGGUGGCAGCAAAUCACCAAAGGUAGAUGAUACUCAGCAGUGCCAAGCAGAAACAGCUAUUGAACCCAUGGAAUCUAGUUCAAGAUCUC